CGUGGGUCAUUUAGAGGAAGUAAAAGUCGUAACAAGGUCUCCGUUGGUGAACCAGCGGAGGGAUCAUUACCGAGUUUUCAACUCCCAAACCCUUAUGUGAACCUACCUAUCGUUGCUUCGGCGGACUCGCCCCAGCCGGACGCGGACUGGACCAGCGGCCGCCGGGGACCAUCAAACUCUUGUAUUAUCAGCAUCUUCUGAAUACGCCGCAAGGCAAAACAAAUAAAUUAAAACUUUCAACAACGGAUCUCUUGGCUCUGGCAUCGAUGAAGAACGCAGCGAAAUGCGAUAAGUAAUGUGAAUUGCAGAAUCCAGUGAAUCAUCGAAUCUUUGAACGCACAUUGCGCCCGCCAGCAUUCUGGCGGGCAUGCCUGUUCGAGCGUCAUUUCAACCCUCGACCUCCCUUUGGGGAAGUCGGCGUUGGGGACCGGCAGCACACCGCCGGCCCUGAAAUGGAGUGGCGGCCCGUCCGGGGCGACCUCUGCGUAGUAAACCAACUCGCACCGGAACCCCGACGUGGCCACGCCGUAAAACACCCAACUUCUGAACGUUGACCUCGAAUCAGGUAGGACUACCCGCUGAACUUAAGCAUAUCAAUAAGCGGAGGAAUU
rnacentral:misc_RNA from 1 species